rnacentral:lncRNA from 10 species
UCCUGCCUCAGCCUCCGGAGUAGCUGGGACUACAGGCGCCCGCAACCACGCCCGGCUAAUUUUUCUAUUUUUAGUAGAGACAGGGUUUCACCGUGUUAGCCAGAAUGGUCUCGAUCUCCUGACCUUGUGAUUCACCCGCCUCGGCCUCCCAAAGUGCUGGGAUUACAGGCGUGAGCCACCGCGCCCGGCCCAGGGUUGGUUUCUUCUGAGGCCUCUCUCCUUGGCUUGCAGAUGGCUAUCUUCUCCAUGUCUUCAUGUGGUCUUCCCGUGUGGUGCGUCUGUGUCUAAACCUCUUCUUGUAAGGACACCAGUCAUACUGCUACCAAGGCAAGAUUUGGAAAAAAAAAAGAAAAGAAAAGAAAAAAAACUGCAAAUGAAAUAAACCUCUCAUCCUGAGUCCCCAUGAAAAGAACAACCACCCAGUGACCAGGAAUAUUCACUUCGACCAAAAAGGUAUUUCCCAUGCAUAGAAAAGGAUGAGGACACCCCAGAGCCUUUCUUCCAGGAGGAAAGGAAAAUACAUAAAAGUAGGAUAGGAAAGCCCACAAUUUAGGAAUGAAAUUGUUUUCUGGCUCUUAUCUUAGGGAAGAGGAAGAGAAAAAAGGAACUAUCUUUGACUUUAUCCAAUAAGAACUUGUGAAAGUUGUCAGAGUCAAAAUGGAGCCACUUGUGUUAAAGACUGUGCCAAGUGGCAUCGAGGAUGGCCGUGAACGGAGGGUUCUUAUGCACAAAUGCCUGACGGCAACGACUAUCACAAAAGACUCCGCAAAAACCACAACCUUGUGAAAGAAAGGCCCACCACAACCUUACUACACACAAAAAAACUUCUGCAAGGACAUCUGCACAGCAACUUCCUGUCUAACCUUGGACCGGCACCACCCUUGUUAUGGAUCCUUAUAGCUAACAAUAAUUAUCACAAAACAAUUUUAUAAUCUUCUUCAUUUUUCCUUUAAAAAUAUUUGUCUUCCUUUACCUACCUGAGCUGAGCAUGCAUGUAGUUUGCUAUGGUAUGUAUAUUGCUGUUACAAUGCCCAUUUUUGAAUAAAUAUCCUUUUCUUUCAGAGAGCCUCUCUCUGUUUUCUAAUGUGACAAACUCAAUUCUUAAGCUAAAGCUUAAGGAAGUAUUUUACAGCUUCCUCAAACAGUCAUCGGUUCUGUUAAAUAUUCUGACUUCCAGGUCCAGUGCAGACAUG